ensembl:lncRNA
CUCAUGUUUGGUCGGAUCCCCCGCCUACCUGUGGAUGUCCUCUUUCGUGCUGUUCUUCAUGACUCUGCUGUGGUGAGCUAUGAGAAGUAUGUGGCCAGUCUCGCCAACGAUCUGAAGGAAGCAAUGGUCAUUGCUCAGGGUGCUCCUGGCCAACAGGAAGGAGAGGGGUAAAAAGAAGCUUGCUGACAGGUGGGACUCGACAGUCUACACUGUGGUAGAUGUGAAUACAGAGACACACACAUACAGGAUCCGCGACACAAUCACUGGACGGGAGAAGGUGGUCCACAGGAACUUGCUGAUGCUGGUUAAUUUUCUUCCUGUGGGGGAUACAUGUGACAUAUCAGAUCUGGCCUCAUCCUUGC